AUAACAAACAAAAAAGUUAUAUUGAAAUUGUUAGGUUAUUGUUAGAUUACAACUGUGAUUCAAACAUCUGUAAUGAUAGUAAUGAAUCACCACUGUCUUUUGCUUGUAAGAAGGGUCUCACUGAUAUUGUGAAAUUAUUGUUAGAACACAAAUGUGACCCUAAUAUUUGUAAUGAUAGAAAACAAUCACCUUUAUUCAUUGCUUCUAUGUGGUAUGAUUUUUACGACACGUUACCUGUAUUCUCGCCAUAUAGAAAUGACAAAAAAAAAAGUUAUACUGAAAUUGUUAGGUUAUUGUUAGAACCCAACUGUAAUCCAAACAUCUGUAAUGAUAGUAAUAAAUCACAACUGUCUAUUGCUUGUAAGGAGGGUCUCACUGAUUGUUAAAUUAUUGUUAGAACAUAAUUGUGAUGCUAACAUUUGUAAUGAUUCAAAAGAGUCGCCUUUAUUCAUUUCUUCAAACUGGGGAUGUACUGGUUUUGGAGUUUUUCUAAAUUCAGUGAUAUUGUGAACUUAUUAUUAGAACACCAUUGUGAUCAUACCAUUUGUAAUGUUAGAUAUGAAUCACCUUUAUUUGUUGCUUCAAAGAA
rnacentral:lncRNA from 1 species